AAGACCACAGUCUUGAGGCUAUGAAGUCCAUGAUUAAGAAGACAGCACGUUUGCUUUCUGGUUCCAAGAUGGCACACCUUGUUGCUGCUUCCUCCAGAGAGGAGGAACACUGUGUCCUCACAUGGUAGAAGGUGGAAGGAGCAGAUGCAGAUGAGCAUGGCAAUGUGAGAAUAUGUCAGAGGCCCCAAGAUGAAAUGAGCUCAAGUCCCUGAAAUCCCUGUUAGAAGAGUCUGUCCACUGGUUGAGAAUGCUAAUUGUAUUUUGACAAAUCAACGUUGCAGCAACUCAGAAUGUUACAGCUUCUGCAUUGGAAUAAAAAAAGGAAACAAAACAGAAUUUUUACUUAUAUCAGAAGGCAAUCAAAGAACAUACAGAUAAUAUACAUUCUAUUAUAGAG